CUGUGCAAUUCAGAUUAUUUUGAAAGAGUAUAUUAUAUGAGUUAUUAGAAUAAGAGUUAUUAAUUAAAGUAAUUUUAGGGUAGAAUUUUUAGUAUAGUUUAUGGAAUUUAUAAAGUGAAUAAUAGAGUAGAAGUACUGUGAAGGAAGUAUGAAAUAGAUGAAAUAGUUAUUAAGAUAAAAGAAGAAUAUAAUUUGUACCUUGGGUAUCAGGGUUUAUUAAUUAAUGGUAAUGAUUUAUAAUUCUCGAAUUAAAAAGAGUUAAAGUAGUGUAGUAGUUAAUGUGUUAUUAUUAUUAUAAAUGUUAUUUUAGAAAUGAAAUGUUAGGCGUUUUUUAAGUUAUCUAGUUUCUCAAGAGAUGAAUUUAAUUCAUGAUAUUGAAAGUAAACAUUUAAUUUGUAAGUAAUGGUUUAUUUUUGGUAUCAAAUGUAUAAAGGGAUAAGCUUUUAUAUAGAUGUUAUAAAUUGUAGAGGAUUUUAAGAGUAGUAAGCUUUAAAUUAGCUAUCUAUGAGAUAAUGUUAUAAAUUGUUUGUGGCUGAGUUUAUUUUUUAAUAAUUUUAGGUUGUUUAUUGAGAUAUUAUAUUAAAUGGAUUAAUAUAAGUAAUGAUGAUAAAAUGAGUAUAUAUAUAUAACUGUUUAUUAGGAUUUAUAUGAGAAUUUACAGUAAGGAAUUAGGCAAUUUAUCACCCGCCUGUUUAUCAAAAACAUCUCCUUUUGGGUUUUAUGUAAGGUAGGGCCUGCCCACUGAAAAUUUUUGAAGGGCCGCGGUAUUAUGACCGUGCAAAGGUAGCAUAAUCAUUAGUCUUUUAAUUGAAGGCUGGAAUGAAUGGUUUGACGAGGUGAUGACUGUCUCAUUGUAAUAGGUGGAAGUUAACUUUUAAGUUAAAAGGCUUAAAUUUUUAUAGAGGACGAGAAGACCCUAUAGAGCUUUAUAUAUAAAUCUAAAUUUGUAUUUGGGAGUUUAUAAAAGUUUAGAUUGAUUAUAUUAUGUUGGGGUGACAUAAAGAUAAAAUGAACUCUUUAUUUUAAGUACAUUGAUGUAUGGAUAAUUGAUCCAUUUUUAAUGAUCAUAAGAUUAAGUUACCUUAGGGAUAACAGCGUAAUUUCUCUUGAGAGUUCAUAUCAACAGAGAAGAUUGCGACCUCGAUGUUGGAUUAAGGAAUAUAAUUGGAUGCAGCAGUUUAAUUAAUAGGUCUGUUCGACCUUUAAAUCCUUACAUGAUCUGAGUUCAGACCGGUGUAAGCCAGGUCGGUUUCUAUCCUUAUUUAAUUUUUAUACUUUAGUACGAAAGGACCAAGUAUUAUAAAUAUUUUAUUAAGUUUGAUUAUUAGUAACUAUUUUGGCAGAUAAGUGCCUUAGAUUUAGAAUCUAAAUAUGUAGUGG
rnacentral:rRNA from 1 species